CGUUAAUAUGGGGAAGAGGAAAUGGAAGGAUCUUCCACUGUCCAGUAUCAUCACUGGACUGACUAUUGGAUUUAAAGUAACAUGAGACUUCAUCUGGUCUCCAAAUAUAACAAUAGCACAGGAGACUGGUCAUAGAUUGACUCUGAAGAGAUUCCACCUUCAGAGACUUUGGCCUCCCCGACAGAGUGACCUGCCCUCCCAAGCAAGGUGUGAGGACCCUCAUCCUUCCUGUCUCCACACACUCCCAUUCUUCUUCUCCUCUCCUACCACCCCUCUCAGGGCAGAAUGGUCCGGUCUGUGCAGGAGCUGUUUCUGAACUUCACAGUAGUCUUAAUCACUGUGCUGCUCAUGUGGCUCCUAGUCAAGACCUACCAGGCCUGAACCACCAGGGGACAGAUACAAGGGGAGAGAGAUGAAGGGCUGAGAAAUGGGGGGAACUGGGUGGUACAUUCUUAUCCAAUUACUGCAGUUGCAAACAAUCUUGAAAGCUUAUUGGGCGACAGGUAGCCUAGUGGUUAGAGCCCGGGCUGCUGGCAUCAUCCUAGAUGCCAUUGCCUGCUGUUGUGCCCUUGAACGAGGCACUUGACCCCCUACACUUUCUCUGCGGCUGAUCCAUGCGUCUGACCCAUUGCUUCCAGUCCCUCGGGUGUGUGUUUGUCUCGGGGGGUUGGGUUGUGAGCUUAAAGGCACAUUUCCAUUAAUGUACAAUAUAGUUAACGGACAAUAAAGUACAAUACAUCGUAUAUUAUCUUCAUUCUGAAACAUAGCAGUUGCACAUAUUAAGUGAAUACAAGACAUAUUAAGUGAAUACAAGACAUAUUAAGUGAAUACAAGACAUAUUAAGUGAAUACAAGACAAAUUAAGUGAAUACAAGACAUUGAAAGGUAUAGAUAUAGCUUCACUGCUUCAGCUGUCUGCUAAGAAAGACAUGCAGUUCCUCACUCCUGCCUCUUAGAGGGACUGUUGUGUUAGAGAUGAGUUGGCAAGCAUUCUGUUUACACGCUCU
rnacentral:lncRNA from 1 species